rnacentral:tRNA from 4 species
GCUCAUGUAGCUUAAAUCAAAGCAUAGCACUGAAGAUGCUAAGAUGAACCCUAAAAAGUUCCACAAGCA